rnacentral:ncRNA from 1 species
UUAAAUGUUAUAUAAAUAUAUUCUUAUGUGAUAAAGAGAAGGAUGAGAGCCUUAGGGUUGGAAAGAUUCUUACCUUAUUCUCAAAUUUAAAAGGGGUAAGACCUUAACCUUCCUGAUAGGAAGUUUAAGGUAUGAUAUAUUGUGCCCAGUGGCCCACUUUUGGUAAGCAGAACUGCCGCUGUGGAUGACCCAAAGGUAAUGUUACGGUGCCCAAAUUACCAAUUCAUGCAGAAACCAUGAAAGGCGUGGGUGGCUUAAACCAGCAGGACGGUGAUCAUGGAAGUCGAAAUCCGUUAAGGAGUGUGUACCAACUCACCUGCGGAAGCAACUAGCCCUUAAAAUGGAUGGCGCUUAAGUUGUAUACCUAUACAUUACCGUUAAAGUAGAUGAUUUAUAUUACUUGUAAUAUAAAUUUUGAAACUUUAGUGAGUAGGAAGGUCCAAUGGUAUGCGUAGAAGUGUUUGGCGUAAGCCUGCAGGGAGCUGCUAUUGGUACAGAUCUUGGUGGUAGUAGCACAUAAUCGAGUGAGACCUUGGAGGAGUGAAGUGGAGAAGGGUUUCGUGUGAACAGUGGUUGAUCACGAGUUAGUCGGUCCUAAGUUCAAGGCGAAAGCCGAAAAUUUUCAAGUAAAAAUAAAAUUUACAAUAUGUAAAAAUUAUAUACUUGAAUAAUUUUGAACGAAAGGGAAUACGGUUCCAAUUCCGUAACCUGUUGAGUAUCCGUUUGUUAUUAAAUAUGGGCCUCGUGCUCAUCCUGGCAACAGGAACGACCAUAAAGAAGCCGUCGAGAGAUAUCGGAAGAGUUUUCUUUUCUGUUUCAUAGUCGUACUGCCAUGGAAGUCUUUCGCAGAGAGAUAUGGUAGAUGGGCUAGAAGAGCAUGACAUAUACUUUUGUGUCGAUAUUUUCUCCUCGGACCUCGAAAAUUUAUGGUGGGGAUACGCAAACUUCUCAACAGGCCGUACCAAUAUCCGCAGCUGGUCUCCAAGGCGAAGAGUCUCUAGUCGAUAGAAUAACGUAGGUAAGGGAAGUCGGCAAAUUAGAUCCGUAACUUCGGGAUAAGGAUUGGCUCUGACG